GCUUUCAUACAGGGAGACCGCGAGAGGCUCAUUAAAUCAGCUAUGGUGUAUAGGAUAAUACCCGUGAAAAGGAUAACUGUGACAACUCUAGAGCUAAUACACGCCUCGAUGCCCCGACUCCCUUUUCCCAUAGUGCUCUUCGGUGGCGGUAGUUGUGGGCAGGGGAGGGGUGCACUUAUUAGAUCAGAAGCCACCGGCGUUGGCGGGUUAUUCAUCACGUGCGUUGAAGCACUUUUGGUGACUCUGGAUAAUUGUUACAGAUCGCAGUCGGCCUUGAGUCGGCGACGAGUCCUUCAAAUGUCUGCCCUAUCAACUUUCGACGGUAGGUGACCAUGCCUACCGUGGUGAUAACGGGUAACGGGGAAUCAGGGUUCGAUCCGGAGAGGAGCUAGAACGGACA
rnacentral:rRNA from 1 species